rnacentral:hammerhead_ribozyme from 1 species
UCAUUGCUGAGGAGUUCCACAGCAGGACGAAACGGCCGUCCAAUGC